GUCAUGUGAUGCCUCAGUGAGCUUCACCGGGGUAAAGGUGCUGUGCUUUGUGCCUUGCUGACUGUAAUUUGACUGCCACCCUCUGAGUGAGACUCCACUUUUGUUUUCAGUCUGUGAGGUGAAGCACACCUGGAAACAGUUUUUUUUUUUAAAGAAAACCUUAUUUUACAUUCAACAUGUCCAUCAGUCGGAAAAACUGGUCGGCUUUGUCCAGCUUGGCACGUCAAUGGACGAUGGAGGAUGAGGAGGAGAUAGAAAGAGAGAAGAGGAGGAGGGUGAAGAGUUCGACUACUGCUGACUCAGAUGGCGAAUCCAGUCCCCCAUCUAUUGACGCAUCCGCCAGUGACAGCGGCAUCUCAGGGACUGGCUCCUCGAGUGAGACGUCCCAGGGCCUCAGCAGUGUGGAGCAGAUGCAGCUGGACUUUGUGGAGAUGCUGCGGACUCGUGAUGAAAAGCGGAGGAUGAGGCACGUAGAGACGUUGAGACGACAAAAGGAAGAAGAAGGGGAUAAUGCAGGCGCCAGCAAAGGAGAAGGAAGAGGAGGAGGUGCCAGGGUGGAGCUACUGGGCGACUUGGAUGAUGAAGAUGGCAGCGUGUUUACACCACAACCUGCUCCCAAAACAGUCACAUACAGUUCCAUCAGUACCAGCAGCACCCACAGUGGCAGCAACACUACUUCACACAUCACAAACAGACAACACGAGAACGGAGAGUCCUCAGGCAGAGACCCUGAUCCCAAACCGCCAUCCAGGCCAGCUCGCAAAUUUGUCAGCUCUGUUUCCAUCUCACUCGAUAAGAGUCCCUCUGCAAGCGGGCCCACAACUCCCAUGAGCCCUUGCUCUCCAACAGCCCCCUUGUCACCCUGCCUUAGUCCCUCCGCUAAAAGAACUCAAAGCCCAGUUCAGAACGGACACACACAAAAGACCGGUCUGAAUGGUUCUGCCACAAAUGGACAGUUUGAACAGACGACCCAGCCUGCAUUUGUCAGACAGAGCUCCAGGACUGUAUCUUUCAGGAUGAUGAGGAAGAAAGAAGAGGAAAACAUGCCUCUGCAGAGGAGCGCAAGUGUGAGGAUGGCAUCAAAGAAGCUGGAAUUCAACACAGAGCAAAAUGAAGAUGAAAACAAAGCGUCAUCUUUCCAGAGAAAUUCUAGACAGAGGGUUUCAUCUCGAUCCAUCCAGGAGAAGAUGGAGAAACUGGCUCAGGCUGCACAGAAAUCAGAACUGUCUCGAUACCCGGAUGUGACCCAGAGGACCCUGUUCCUGCUGGAUGAGGUGUCCAGGAAGAGGGGGCUCUUUGAAAAGGAGCAGCCAACACAAAGCCCCACCAGUCCUGGAGUUUCCAGACAGGAAUUUAGAGGCUUCACAUCAGGAAUGUCAGACCGCAUCAACCGCUGGCUCAACAAGACCAACCAGUCUGGAUCUUUACACAAUCCUUCUGAUUUAAGACACGUGGACAUCACUAGUAAGAGAAGCCUGUUUGAGAACAGAGGGGAAGACAGCCCUGGAAAACUCACCAAGUGAUGGACGCUCUUUUAACAGGGUUGUGAAUGUGGCCACUGAAGAGAUAUGGAAGAUAAAUGGAUGCCAUAACUGACUGAUUUAUUUGUUUUUUCAUGUGUCUUUUUCUCAGGAGGAACAUGAGAUAAAACAUGUUAGCUUUACAGAACUGAAAAGGGAGGCUUCUAUCAUAUUUGCAUUGCUUCUACAAGUAUGUCUUUUUUUUAGCUUUAAAGCACAGGAGGGAGAUGCUUGAUGAGUGAGGAGGAAAAGAAAAGUUUGUUUAGCUGUUUGCCUUAACUGUGUAAUUUUUAAAGCACUUUAAACAGGUGAAGGUCUUAAGGCUGAUUGUAUGUUAAUUAAAUGACAGUACUCUUUCCUAAUCUGCCAAAAUAAGAGUGUGUUUUGUCUGGACUUGUGCACAAUAAAAUGUUUUACA
rnacentral:lncRNA from 1 species